rnacentral:rRNA from 1 species
CGUUCAGGGGUAAACCUGCGAAACUCGAAUGAACGAACGGGGAGAUUCAUCGUCAUUCGUCGGACGGCGCGGUGGGAACGCGAUGUUCAGCCCUCCGGUGAUCUAGGUCGCCGGUGUAAGUUGGGCACGCGCCUCGCUCGCGUCACGCGUCCGACGACGGCGUGCACUUCUCCCUUAGUAAUGCAUCGCGACCCGCUCGGUGUCGGUCUAAGCCCCAAUCGGGAGUCCGCUGUUCGCGUUGCGUUCGACGGACCGGUUUGGUGUGCCGACCGGCUGCCGGGCGGUAGACGAAAUGAAACGAACACGCGCUUGUCGCGUCCGGCCCGACGCAAGGUCGCCUCGUAGCCGCCGUCACGCCUGAGUGCGUACGGUGUGCUCGCGGUGCCUGCUUCAGUGGCAGCCGUGUGCAUUGGACGUGUUCGCAUCUAGUCAGCGAUGUUUUUGUUUCGGGCACUCGCAGGACCCGUCUUGAAACACGGACCAAGGAGUCUAGCAUGUGUGCAAGUCACUAGGUGAUAAAACCGAAAGGCGUAACGAAAGUGAAGGCGCACGCUUGUCGUGCGCUCGGGGAGGAUGGCGGUGGCUCACGCGGUCACCGCCCGCACUCCCGAGGCGUCCCGUUCCCAAUUCGUGGAUGUGGGCGCGCUCAGAGCACAGAUGCUGGGACCCGAAAGAUGGUGAACUAUGCCUGGUCAGGUCGAAGUCAGGGGAAACCCUGAUGGAGGACCGUAGCGAUUCUGACGUGCAAAUCGAUCGUCGGAACUGGGUAUAGGGGCGAAAGACUAAUCGAACCAUC